AGACAAUCGCGGCUGCAGGUGCCGAAAGGCCGCAGACGAGGAAAGUCCGGGCUUCACAGGGCAGGAUGCCGGAUAACGUCCGGUGGAGGUGACUCCAAGGCCAGUGCAACAGAAAUAAACCGCCGCAAUGGAAAACGGGAAGGCAUCAGCCGGAACGCAUUUCCGUGCGGUAAGGGUGGAAAGGCAGUGUAAGAGACUACCGCCUCGCUGGUAACAGAGAGGGCACAUGUAAACCCCAUCCGAAGCAAGACCGAAACGUAAGCAAUGUGGCGGCCCGUCACGCUUCAGGUAGGUCGCUCGAGCACGGCGGUAACGCCGCGCCUAGACAGAUGAUUGUCCAAUGACAUAACCCGGCUUAUCGUCUUGCUUGA
rnacentral:RNase_P_RNA from 1 species